rnacentral:lncRNA from 1 species
UCCAAAGUCACUGCCUGUGUUUGCUUCAAAUAAUCCACUUCUUUCCUAAUUGGUUUUUGUUAUCAUUGUUGAAAUAAGAGCCCAGUAAGGGUGAAGUCUCAAUUAUUUUCCCUCAACCCUAAAAAGUCCUUUUAUGGACCUUUUAUAAGAUUCUUACAAAAUUCUUUCAUUUUUUUAACCUAACAUUUUUUCAUUUGCUCUCAGGAUCCUUCAUCAAAUUCUGGGUUCCAAAGACAUCUUAAUUUUUUCAUUUUUAUUAUUUAGUAAAUAAGAGGCAGGAUAACACAGCAGAAAGAUCAAUGGACAGGGAUUCAGAAGUAAACUAGUAAGUAGUCCUGGGGCUCAGCUUCUCUUCCAUAUAUUAAGGAAUCAGACCAGAUAAUAAUUCUCAAAUCUUAAAUGGAAUUCCAACAUAUGAAACAAGUAAGAUGAAUUUUAAGAAUUAACUCUAAAUUUUUUUAAGUUUAAAUUUAUAACAUUUACUUAUCACAAUGAC